GCCCAGUAAAACAGAUUAAACUCAAUUAGUCAGUUUUGAAAGAAAUAAGAAUGAACUUUAAAAACAUAUUCGGCUUUGCGUUCCUUCUGCUGGCUAUCAACAUAGGGCAAUCGAGGGCUGCCUGGAUACAUGAUGUUGGCAAAACUCUUAAGGGAGUUGGGUUGUAUGCUUUCAAUGCAACUAUGCACGUAGCAGAGGUCGGCGUGAAAGCAGGCAAUGUCGCAAUUACUGCCAAGGGUUUAUAAUUUUAUAUUGAUUGAAUGAUAUUUUUAUCAGUAAGAAAUAACAAGGUUUUGAAGAAUUUAUGAAAUGAUUUACUAUAAAACGUUUCAAAACGCAACCGAUAUGUCUUAUCAGUGUUAAAAUAAAUAAAAUUAAAGCUUCUA